rnacentral:snoRNA from 1 species
GCAACUUCUACCCAUUGGUUGGUCAAAAGUCUUAUAUUUUGAGCUGACUAAGAUUCAAAGUUGCAAGAAUAAACACCGCAACUUACCAUGUCAAUGAGUCUACAGUUAUCAUUUACAAAAAUUGAAGCGUUACAGA